rnacentral:rRNA from 1 species
AAUAGAUACCCGGGUAGUCCACGCCGUAAACGAUGAGUGCUAAGUGUUGGAGGGUUUCCGCCUUUCAGUGCUGCAGCUAACGCAUUAAGCACUCCGCCUGGGGAGUACGGUCGCAAGACUGAAACUCAAAGGAAUUGACGGGGGCCCGCACAAGCGGUGGAGCAUGUGGUUUAAUUCGAAGCAACGCGAAGAACCUUACCAGGUCUUGACAUCUCCUGACCGCCCUGGAGACAGGGUCUUCCCUUCGGGGACAGGAUGACAGGUGGUGCAUGGUUGUCGUCAGCUCGUGUCGUGAGAUGUUGGGUUAAGUCCCGCAACGAGCGCAACCCUUGGUUCUAGUUGCCAGCAUUCAGUUGGGCACUCUAGAGCGACUGCCGGCGACAAGUCGGAGGAAGGUGGGGAUGACGUCAAAUCAUCAUGCCCCUUAUGACCUGGGCUACACACGUGCUACAAUGGAUGGUACAAAGGGCAGCGAAGCGGCGACGCAUGAGCGAAUCCCAGAAAACCAUUCUCAGUUCGGAUUG